rnacentral:rRNA from 1 species
UACGGAAGGCAGCAGUGGGGAAUAUUGCACAAUGGGCGCAAGCCUGAUGCAGCCAUGCCGCGUGUAUGAAGAAGGCCUUCGGGUUGUAAAGUACUUUCAGUCGUGAGGAAGGUGUUAAGGUUAAUAACCUUAGCAAUUGACGUUAGCGACAGAAGAAGCACCGGCUAACUCCGUGCCAGCAGCCGCGGUAAUACGGAGGGUGCGAGCGUUAAUCGGAAUUACUGGGCGUAAAGGGCACGCAGGCGGUUAAUUAAGUUGGAUGUGAAAUCCCCGGGCUUAACCUGGGAAUGGCAUUCAAGACUGGUUAGCUAGAGUCUUGUAGAGGGGGUAGAAUUCCAUGUGUAGCGGUGAAAUGCGUAGAGAUGUGGAGGAAUACCGGUGGCGAAGGCGGCCCCUGGGACAAAGACUGACGCUCAUGUGCGAAAGCGUGGGGAGCAAACAGGAUUAGAACC